UGGAGGAACAGCCUUAGUGGCGGGGCCAGCUCUGCAGCCCUGGAGUCAGCCCCCGCAGUAACUCCGGAGCUCUCGGUCUGCAGGGCCUGGAGGCUCCGGGGCGGG
rnacentral:pre_miRNA from 1 species